rnacentral:rRNA from 1 species
GACGAACCGUGCGAACGUUGUUCGGAAUCACUGGGCUUAAAGGGCUCGUAGGCGGUCUGUCACGUCGGGAGUGAAAACUCAGGGCUUAACCCUGAGCCUGCUUCCGAUACGGGCAGACUAGAGGUAUGCAGGGGAGAACGGAAUUCCUGGUGUAGCGGUGAAAUGCGCAGAUAUCAGGAGGAACACCGGUGGCGAAGGCGGUUCUCUGGGCAUUACCUGACGCUGAGGAGCGAAAGUGUGGGGAGCGAACAGG